AAACGACUCUCGGCAACGGAUAUCUCGGCUCUCGCAUCGAUGAAGAACGUAGCGAAAUGCGAUACUUGGUGUGAAUUGCAGAAUCCCGCGAACCAUCGAGUCUUUGAACGCAAGUUGCGCCCGAAGCCAUUAGGUUGAGGGCACGCCUGCCUGGGCGUCUCACGUUGCGU
rnacentral:rRNA from 1 species